UACGUAGGCAGCGAGCGUUGUUCGGAGUUACUGGGCGUAAAGGGUGUGUAGGCGGUUGUUUAAGUUUGGUGUGAAAUCUCCCAGCUCAACUGGGAGGGUGCGCCGAAUACUGAAUGACUUCGAGUGCGGGAGAGGAAAGUGGAAUUCCUGGUGUAGCGGUGAAAUGCGUAGAUAUCAGGAGGAACACCGGUGGUGUAGACGGCUUUCUGGACCGUAACUGACGCUGAGACACGAAAGCGUGGGUAGCAAACAGG
rnacentral:rRNA from 1 species